rnacentral:rRNA from 1 species
AUUGAACGCUGGCGGCAUGCCUAACACAUGCGAGUCGAACGGCAGCAUGAAUAUGGGUAACCAUAUUUGAUGGCGAGUGGCGGACGGGUGAGUAAUAUGUAGGAAUCUACCUAGAGGAGGGGGAUAACUUGGGGAAACCCAAGCUAAUACCACAUAAGACCUACGGGGGAAAGCAGGGGAUCGAAAGACCUUGCGCCUUAUGAUGAGCCUACAUCGGAUUAGCUAGUUAGUGGGGUAAAGGCCUACCAAGGCGACGAUCCGUAGCUGGUCUGAGAGGAUGAUCAGCCACACUGGUACUGAGACACGGCCCAGACUCCUACGGGAGGCAGCAGUGGGGAAUAUUGGACAAUGGGCGAAAGCCUGAUCCAGCAAUGCCGCGUGUGUGAAGAAGGCCUUAGGGUUGUAAAGCACUUUCAGUAGGGAGGAAGGGUGUAAUGCUAAUAUCAUUGCACAUUGACGUUACCUACAGAAGAAGCACCGGCUAACUCUGUGCCAGCAGCCGCGGUAA